rnacentral:rRNA from 1 species
GACGAACGCUGGCGGCGUGCUUAACACAUGCAAGUCGAACGGAAAGGCCCUGCUUUUGUGGGGUGCUCGAGUGGCGAACGGGUGAGUAACACGUGAGUAACCUGCCCUUGACUUUGGGAUAAAUUCAGGAAACUGGGGCUAAUACCGGAUAGGAGCUCCUGCUGCAUGGUGGGGGUUGGAAAGUUUCGGCGGUUGGGGAUGGACUCGCGGCUUAUCAGCUUGUUGGUGGGGUAGUGGCUUACAAAGGCUUUGACGGGUAGCCGGCCUGAGAGGGUGACCGGCGACAUUGGGACUGAGAUACGGCCCAGACGCCUACGGGAGGCAGCAGUGGGGAAUAUUGCACAAUGGGCGGAAGCCUGAUGCAGCAACGCCGCGUGCGGGAUGACGGCCUUCGGGUGGUAAACCGCUUUCGCCUGUGACGAAGCGGGAGUGACGGUAAUGGGUAAAGAAGCACCGGCUAACUACGUG